rnacentral:rRNA from 1 species
AGAGUUUGAUCAUGGCUCAGAACGNNCGCUGGCGGCAGGCCUAAGACAUGCAAGUCGAGCGCACCUUCGGGUGAGCGGCGGACGGGUGAGUAACGCGUGGGAAUAUGCCCUUCACUGCGGAAUAGCCUCUGGAAACGGAGAGUAAUACCGCAUACGCCCUUCGGGGGAAAGAUUUAUCGGUGAAGGAUUAGCCCGCGUUGGAUUAGGUAGUUGGUGGGGUAAAAGCCUACCAAGCCGACGAUCCAUAGCUGGUUUGAGAGGAUGAUCAGCCACACUGGGACUGAGACACGGCCCAGACUCCUACGGGAGGCAGCAGUCGGGAAUCUUAGACAAUGGGGGAAACCCUGAUCUAGCCAUGCCGCGUGAGUGACGAAGGCCUUAGGGUCGUAAAGCUCUUUCGCUGGGGAAGAUAAUGACGGUACCCAGUAAAGAAACCCCGGCUAACUCCGUGCUAGCAGCCGCGGUAAUACGGAGGGGGUUAGCGUUGUUCGGAAUUACU